UACGUAGGGGGCAAGCGUUGUCCGGAUUUAUUGGGCGUAAAGAGCGUGUAGGCGGUCAGGUAGGUCCGUUGUGAAAACUCGAGGCUCAACCUCGAGACGCCGAUGGAAACCAUCUGACUAGAGUCCGGAAGAGGAGAGUGGAAUUCCUGGUGUAGCGGUGAAAUGCGCAGAUAUCAGGGAGAACACCCGUGGCUAAGGCGGCUCUCUAGUACGGUACUGACGCUGAGACGCGAAAGCGUGGGGAGCGAACAGG
rnacentral:rRNA from 1 species